AGGAUGAACGCUGGCGGCGUGCCUAACACAUGCAAGUCGAACGUCCUGUCUCGCAAGAGGCAGGGAGUGGCGGACGGGUGAGUACCACGUGGGUUAUCUACCGUGAGGUGAGGAAUACCGGCGAGAAAUCGCCGACAAGACCGCAUAGCCUCGGUGCAAGCCGAGGAAAGCUUUCUCGAGAGAGGGAGCGCCACACGAGGAGCCUGCGCCCGAUUAGCUAGCUGGUGGAGUAACGGUUCACCAGGGCGACGAUCGGUAGCUGGUCUGAGAGGACGAUCAGCCACACUGGGAUUGAGAACGGCCCAGACUCCUACGGGGGGCAGCAGUGAGGAAUUUUCGCAAUGGGGGCAACCCUGAACGAGCAACGCCGCGUGCAGGAAGAAGGUUUUCGGAUCGUAAACUGCUUUUCUCGGGGAAGAGAACGGACGGUACCCGAGGAAUCAGCCCGGCUAACGUACGUGCCAGCAGCCGC
rnacentral:rRNA from 1 species